rnacentral:lncRNA from 1 species
CUGCAUGAGUGCACUGAACUGUGCCUUGCACUUUUUUACAGCAUCUGUCCUCUACCCCAUUAGAUCCUGAAUGCUGCUUCUGCAUGAUAACUUAAUUGCCUCAUGCCAUCUUCAGUGUCUGGCUCUCGAGCUUGGAGACAUGAGUAUGAUUCUGCCAAGGCACAACAAAUCCAACAGCCGUGGAAACAUCCUGACCACAGCCAAGGCAUCCCUGGGCUGCUCUUUAGGAAGGAUCAAAGCAUGACCUAUGAAAUUUGUCAACAUUUACUCAAAGGAGUGAUGCAGCUUUACUGGGAGGAAGGGAAGUGCCAGGGUUGUUUGCAAGGUUGUUUUUGAACCAAC